rnacentral:tRNA from 1 species
ACUGUUUUGGCAGAAAAAUGUAAUAAAUUUAGAAUUUAUUUAUGUGAUUUUAUAUCACAAGCAGUA